UACGUAGGGUGCGAGCGUUAAUCGGAAUUACUGGGCGUAAAGCGUGCGCAGGCGGUUUUGUAAGUCUGUCGUGAAAUCCCCGGGCUCAACCUGGGAAUUGCGAUGGAGACUGCAAGGCUAGAAUCUGGCAGAGGGGGGUAGAAUUCCACGUGUAGCAGUGAAAUGCGUAGAGAUGUGGAGGAACACCGAUGGCGAAGGCAGCCCCCUGGGUCAAGAUUGACGCUCAUGCACGAAAGCGUGGGAGCAACGAGGAUAC
rnacentral:rRNA from 1 species